rnacentral:misc_RNA from 1 species
GGCAAGCCUACUUGAAGCAUCAAAUUGGGUGUACACAUCCAAUUCAACUUCUAAAUCAUCAAAGUUCGAUCGAAAGGAGGAGAUAAGUUUGCAACCUUCACAAGAGGUCAAGCAUGAAUUACCCUUGAUGGAGGAAAAACAAGAUAGCUGUCAUGAUCUGAUUCUAUGGGCCAGACCAGUAUUAGGACUUGGGCCAACAUAAAGCCCCCAAAGCUUAUAGUAAGCCUUACUGCUCCUGAACCCAUGAUCAGACCCAAUUUCAAUGUCCG